ensembl:piRNA 21ur-9821 ncRNA
UUAAUUGUUCCCAUUGCAGAG